rnacentral:rRNA from 1 species
CAGCCGCCGCGGGAAAACGUAGGGUGCAAGCGUUAAUCGGAAUUACUGGGCGUAAAGCGUGCGCAGGCGGUUCUAUAAGACAGAUGUGAAAUCCCCGGGCUCAACCUGGGAACUGCAUUUGUGACUGUAGAGCUGGAGUGCGGCAGAGGGGGAUGGAAUUCCGCGUGUAGCAGUGAAAUGCGUAGAUAUGCGGAGGAACACCGAUGGCGAAGGCAAUCCCCUGGGCCUGCACUGACGCUCAUGCACGAAAGCGUGGGGAGCAAACAGGAUUAGAUACCCGUGUAGUCCCUGUCUCUUAUAC